GCAGCAUGGUCUUAGCUUGCUAAGGCUGAUGGCGACCGGCGCACGGGUGAGUAACACGUAUCCAACCUGCCGUCUACUCUUGGCCAGCCUUCUGAAAGGAAGAUUAAUCCAGGAUGGGAUCAUGAGUUCACAUGUCCGCAUGAUUAAAGGUAUUUUCCGGUAGACGAUGGGGAUGCGUUCCAUUAGAUAGUAGGCGGGGUAACGGCCCACCUAGUCAACGAUGGAUAGGGGUUCUGAGAGGAAGGUCCCCCACAUUGGAACUGAGACACGGUCCAAACUCCUACGGGAGGCAGCAGUGAGGAAUAUUGGUCAAUGGGCGAUGGCCUGAACCAGCCAAGUAGCGUGAAGGAUGACUGCCCUAUGGGUUGUAAACUUCUUUUAUAAAGGAAUAAAGUCGGGUAUGCAUACCCGUUUGCAUGUACUUUAUGAAUAAGGAUCGGCUAACUCCGUGCCAGCAGCCGCGGUAAUACGGAGGAUCCGAGCGUUAUCCGGAUUUAUUGGGUUUAAAGGGAGCGUAGAUGGAUGUUUAAGUCAGUUGUGAAAGUUUGCGGCUCAACCGUAAAAUUGCAGUUGAUACUGGAUGUCUUGAGUGCAGUUGAGGCAGGCGGAAUUCGUGGUGUAGCGGUGAAAUGCUUAGAUAUCACGAAGAACUCCGAUUGCGAAGGCA
rnacentral:rRNA from 1 species